GGAGUUAGCCGGUGCUUCUUCUGUGAGUGAUGUCCUUCCUGCCGGCUAUUAACCCGCAGGCCUUCUUCCUCACUGAAAGUGCUUUACAACCCGAAGGCCUUCUUCACACACGCGGCAUGGCUGGAUCAGGGUUGCCCCCAUUGUCCAAUAUUCCCCACUGCUGCCUCCCGUAGGAGUCUGGGCCGUGUCUCAGUCCCAGUGUGGCUGAUCAUCCUCUCAGACCAGCUACGGAUCGUCGCCUUGGUGAGCCGUUACCUCACCAACCAGCUAAUCCGACAUAGGCUCAUCCGAUAGCGCGAGGCCCGAAGGUCCCCCGCUUUCCCCCGUAGGGCGUAUGCGGUAUUAGCCUGGGUUUCCCCCAGGUUAUCCCCCGACUACCGGGCAGAUUCCUAUGCAUUACUCACCCGUCCGCCGCUCGCCACCAGGGAGCAAGCUCCCCGUGCUGCCGCUCGACUUGCAUGUGUUAGGCCUGCCGCCAGCGUUCAAUCUGAACCAAGAUCAAAUUCUGA
rnacentral:rRNA from 1 species